rnacentral:lncRNA from 1 species
ACUUGCAUAAUAUCCAAUUAAUUUGCAUACCAUCCAAUCAUUGUGCUAAUAUCUAACAAAUGCAUAAUAAAAAGGAAUACUAAAAUAAAAUGUUAUCAUUAACACAUAUAACUAGUUCGGUUGCUGGUUCCUAAUUGCUCUCCACUCAUUAUACAUUUCCUGAGCUAUGUCAUUCCUCAUUGCAGUCCACUGGUCAGAUGUUUGAACACUACCAACAUAUUCACCUUCUUCUGUAUUUUGUCCAUCUUCUAUUAUUGGCAAAUUCUCCAU